rnacentral:rRNA from 1 species
UGGGGAAUAUUGCACAAUGGUGGGAACUCUGAUGCAGCGACGCCGCGUGAACGAAGAAGGCUUUCGAGUCGUAAAGUUCUUUUAUAUGUGAAGAAAAUGACGGUACCAUAAGAAAAAGCCCCGCCUAACUACGUGCCAGCAGCCGCGGUAAUACGUAGGGGGCUAGCGUUGUCCGGAAUCACUGGGCGUAAAGGGUUCGCAGGCGGAAAUGCAAGUCAGGUGUAAAAGGCAGUAGCUUAACUACUGUAAGCAUUUGAAACUGCAUAUCUUGAGAAGAGUAGAGGUAAGUGGAAUUUUUAGUGUAGCGGUGAAAUGCGUAGAUAUUAAAAAGAAUACCGGUGGCGAAGGCGACUUACUGGGCUCAUUCUGACGCUGAGGAACGAAAGCGUGGGUAGCAAACAGG